GGAGUCUGGGCCGUAUCUCAGUCCCAAUGUGGCCGUUCAACCUCUCAGUCCGGCUACUGAUCGUCGACUUGGUGGGCCGUUACCCCGCCAACUAUCUAAUCAGACGCGAGGCCAUCUCAGAGCGAUAAAUCUUUGGCAACAAAACCAUGCGAUUUCAUUGCAUCAUGCGGUAUUAGCAGCCGUUUCCAGCUGUUGUCCCCCUCUCCAAGGCAGGUUCCUCACGCGUUACUCACCCGUCCGCCACUUUCCUCUGCUUCCAUUGUCCGAAAACUCUUUCCACAGAUUCUCGUUCGACUUGCAUGUGUUAAGCACGCCGCCAGCGUUCGUUCCUGAGCCACUGAUCAAACUACU
rnacentral:rRNA from 1 species